UUAUUUCUUUUAUGUAUUGUAACUUCGGCGUUUUUUUCUAGACAUAAUCAAAUCCAAGAGAGUCUAGAUUUUCUCCUGUUAUUUUCCAGAAGUUUUAUAUUUUGUAUUUGACAUUUAGGUCUGUGAUUCAUUUUGAGUUAAUUUUGGUGAGGGAGUAAGAUCUGAUUCAUUUUUUUUACAUGUGGAUAUUAAGUUAUUCCAGCACCACUUUCUGAAGAAACCAAUCUUUGUUUCAUCAUAUUGCCUUUACUUUUUCAUCAAAGAUUAAUUAAGUAUAUUGAUGUGUCUCUAUUUCUAAACUCUGUCUUGUUUCAUUAACCUGUCUAUUCUUUCAUCAAUAUGAUACUGCCUUGAUUACCGUAGCUUUUCAGUAAGUCUUGAAGUUGAGUAGUGCCUGUCUGUCCUCCAGCUUUGUUCUCCUUCACUAUUGUGUUAACUAUUCAAGGUUUUUUCUUCUCCAUAUAAGUUUUAGAAUUACUUUUUCUAUAUCCAUAAAAUAAUUUGCUUCCAUUUUGAUUAGAAGUGCAUUGAAUCUGUACCCUGGGAAGAAUUGACCUCCUGAUGAUAUUGAGUUAUUCUAUUCUUGAAUAUAAUGUAUCUUCUCUAACUGUUCAGUUCUUUUUUAUUUCCAUCAUCAGAUAUGGACAGUUUAUGAAAUCACAUAACUCUCUCUACCUUGACCAAAGGACAGUGAUGAAUUCCUCAUUCUGCAGCCAACAAGUCACCUCUGAGGGCCAUGUGUCUAAACAUAGACAGGAGGGGCACCUGUUGCUUCAGCCAACACCUGCUGGCAUGCGCCCAGGCCGCUGGUGCUGCUGGCUUUCCCAGCCCUGCCCCCGGGGCUGCCAUUAGGUGUGGUGUAGCUCUUGACCUUAGCAAGAAUGUUCUUCUUCAUCCCUACCAUGGGUGAAAUUUUUUCACAAACACUUUUUAAAAUAA